CGGACGGGUGAGCAACACGUGGGUAACCUACCUAUAAGACUGGGACAACUUCGGGAAACCGGAGCUAAUACCGGAUAAGAUAUCGAACCGCAUGGUUCGAUAGUGAAAGAUGGUUUUGCUAUCACUUAUAGAUGGACCCGCGCCGUAUUAGCUAGUUGGUGAGGUAACGGCUCACCAAGGCAACGAUACGUAGCCGACCUGAGAGGGUGAUCGGCCACACUGGAACUGAGACACGGUCCAGACUCCUACGGGAGGCAGCAGCG
rnacentral:rRNA from 1 species